GAUGAACGCUGGCGGCGUGCCUAAUACAUGCAAGUCGAGCGAAUGGAUUGAGAGCUUGCUCUCAAGAAGUUAGCGGCGGACGGGUGAGUAACACGUGGGUAACCUGCCCAUAAGACUGGGAUAACUCCGGGAAACCGGGGCUAAUACCGGAUAACAUUUUGAACCGCAUGGUUCGAAAUUGAAAGGCGGCUUCGGCUGUCACUUAUGGAUGGACCCGCGUCGCAUUAGCUAGUUGGUGAGGUAACGGCUCGCCAAGGCAACGAUGCGUAGCCGACCUGAGAGGGUGAUCGGCCACACUGGGACUGAGACACGGCCCAGACUCCUACGGGAGGCAGCAGUAGGGAAUCUUCCGCAAUGGACGAAAGUCUGACGGAGCAACGCCGCGUGAGUGAUGAAGGCUUUCGGGUCGUAAAACUCUGUUGUUAGGGAAGAACAAGUGCUAGUUGAAUAAGCUGGCACCUUGACGGUACCUAACCAGAAAGCCACGGCUAACUACGUGCCAGCCGCCGCGGUAA
rnacentral:rRNA from 1 species